rnacentral:rRNA from 1 species
GACGAACGCUGGCGGCGUGCUUAACACAUGCAAGUCGAACGGAAAGGCCCUGCUUUUGUGGGGUGCUCGGGUGGCGAACGGGUGAGUAACACGUGAGUAACCUGCCCUUGACUUUGGGAUAACUUCGGGAAACUGGGGCUAAUACCGGAUAGGAGCUCCUGCUGCAUGGUGGGGGUUGGAAAGUUUCGGCGGUUGGGGAUGGACUCGCGGCUUAUCAGCUUGUUGGUGGGGUAGUGGCUUACCAAGGCUUUGACGGGUAGCCGGCCUGAGAGGGUGACCGGCCACAUUGGGACUGAGAUACGGCCCAGACUCCUACGGGAGGCAGCAGUGGGGAAUAUUGCACAAUGGGCGGAAGCCUGAUGCAGCAACGCCGCGUGCGGGAUGACGGCCUUCGGGUUGUAAACCGCUUUCGCCUGUGACGAAGCGUGAGUGACGGUAAUGGGUAAAGAAGCACCGGCUAACUACGUG